AUGGACUCAUUAUCAGUCACUUAAUGGGAGGCUAUGACUUAGUUAUCAAUAUAACUUAAUCAUUUUUAGGGACCUAAUAAUUUUUGAGGAUUUUAUUAAAAGAUAAAUGAGAAGAAAAAAUUCAGCCAAUUUCAAUCCUCCCACUAACUUCAUCAAGUCAGAUUAAAAAGGAUUUAAUUAAAGCUGGCAUUAGGAGCACCUAAAUCAGUCAAACUGAUUUACCUAAUGACAUGGGUGAGCCCUAAUCACCAAGUGAUCUAAUCAAAACCUAAUUCACCAGGUUGGCCAGGUAAGUGAGAUCAGUGGUGGGGAUAAGCCAUUAACUCGUCAGAGAUCAAAUCACUGCGAGUAGCUCUC
rnacentral:lncRNA from 1 species